rnacentral:rRNA from 1 species
GGACUACACGGGUAUCUAAUCCUGUUUGCUCCCCACGCUUUCGUGUCUCAGCGUCAGUAUUCGUCCAGUUGGCCGCCUUCGCCACCGAUGUUCCUCUCGAUAUCUACGAAUUUCACCUCUACACCGAGAAUUCCACCAACCUCUCCGAUACUCUAGCUACGCAGUAUCGAGUGCACUUCCAGGGUUGAGCCCUGGGCUUUCACACCCGACUUACAUAGCCGCCUACACACGCUUUACGCCCAGUAAUUCCGAACAACGUUUGCACCCUCUGUCUUACCGCGGCUGCUGGCAC